GACGUAGGAGGCGAGCGUUGUCCGGAUUCAUUGGGCGUAAAGAGCGCGCAGGCGGCUUGGUAAGUCGGAUGUGAAAACCCGAGGCUCAACCUCGGGCGUGCAUCCGAAACUGCUCGGCUAGAGGUAGGUAGGGGAGAUCGGAAUUCCCGGUGUAGCGGUGAAAUGCGCAGAUAUCGGGAGGAACACCGGUGGCGAAGGCGGUUCUCUGGGCCUGUACUGACGCUGAGGAGCGAAAGCGUGGGGAGCGAACAGG
rnacentral:rRNA from 1 species